CUCUGGGUGAGACUGGAGUGUGAGGCGGGGGCACAUGGCUGAUGGCUCAGCCCUCUGCCAAGGGUCAGCCCGUCAAGGCUCUCCACACAAUUUCCUGUUAUUUAGUCUGGUUCUGAGAGUACCCCAUCAUCAGCCAAUUCAGCAUAAAAGAAUCCAGAGGGCUCAGUCAAACACUCCAGAAAUUUAGUUUUUAGAAUAACAAUCAGUAAAAUCGGUUAAAACUUUUCAGUCAAUCCAGUCAGGUGGGAUGAAAAUUCGGGAAACUCAGGCCACACUACUUUCAGUCAAGUUUCAUCGUUAACUUCUGCAAAAUCAAUCAGAAACUUGGUCAGUGCAUCUUGAAGUCCUGGGAGUCUAGACAGAAGUUCAGGCAGGCUUCACAUGUACUGAGGUGGUGAUUUGGAAAUUUGGUGAGGUCGGCCCAAAUCCAGCAAGGUCAACCCAAAGUCUAGAUCAGUCCAAAGUUCAGAGUGGAGAGGCUAAAGUCCAAGCCGAGCAGUCGGGUAUUUAGUCAGACGGGUCACGUCAACCCCGACCACUUGGCAUCACAUAAGCCCCACAUUCGGUUGUGGGACUGGGUUUGUGAUGGGUAGACAGAGAGAGACGGGAUUGGCUGUGUGUGCAGGUAGGGGAGCCAAAGUGGAGACAAAGUGGCACUGUCCAGGGAUUUCCAGAAACUUCUCCACCAGGAGCCAGACCAAGGAAAUGGCGGGGCUGAGCUGGAGUGGCGUUCCCAGACAAGCCCCUGAAACUGCCCUGGGGAGACCCAAGAUGCCACUCUGUUGACCUCUGUGAACCUGGCGUAUUGCCGAGCUCUCGGGCCUUCUGAAGCCAGAGCCCCAUCCAGCCACUGGGCAGCCAGCCAGGGUGUCCUCACCUAAAGGACAGCAGCCCGGUGAACACACGUAGCACGCCUCGUCCCCUCACCGCCUGCCUGUCUGUUCUCCCACGCUCCUUCCCCUCUCUGGCCAGAGCUGAGCAGGCGAAGCCAAGAGCUGGCCUGGUGCCCCGGCAAUGGAGGUGUAGCUGGGCUCUGACCCAGCUCCUCAAACAGGUUCCAUAUGGCCCUCCCGGCCUCCCCCCUCCCCUUCCCAACCUGACUGUUUCUGAGAUUAAAACCCUUUCCUGGUGUCAGCACACAGCCGCAGGGAGGGGCUGCCCUGCUGCUCUUGGGGGCUGAACUGGUAUGGAAUACUCAUCAGAAGGCUGGCUCACGGGUACAGAGUUCCUGGACUACUGGGUGAGGGGGCGUGGAGGGGGCAGGUGGCCUGAGUGUGGGAGAGACCUCUGCCUGCCUGUUUGGUCCAGCUGCAGCCUCUGGAGCAGUUCUUGAGCAUCUGGCCUGGGCAUCGCGACACCGAGACUCAUGCCGUUAAAGCUGCUGCUAUGCACAGGGAGAGAAGGGACAUCCCAUCCUUCCAGCUCUGCUCAGACUCUGCCGGGGUCUUUGGUCCUCCAACCUUCAGUGGCCUUCAUGCCAUUUCCCCCGGCUCUGUAAUCCUCUGCUGGUGAACUGACCGUCAUCGUCCCCGUGAGUGAGCACAGGCCGAUUUCAGGAUUUGCACCUCAUGGCAGCUCUAGGAGCCCAUCUGACAGGCAAAGAACGGAGGCUCAGAGCCUGACCUUGGCACCGCUGAGGACGGGGAGGGGCUGGAACCCAAAGGCAGGUCCCUCUUCUUUUUCCCAAAUUUGUGUGAAGAUGAGACUCACUGGAUGUGUUUGUUAACAGCUGAUUCCUGUGUACUCCUGAAAUUUAUAUAAUGUUAUAAGCUAGUGUCACCUCAACAAACAAUAAAAACUAUUGAUU